rnacentral:sRNA from 1 species
UAAUAGAAAUAGAAAAAGGAAACCUUGCGCUAACAAGACUUCCCACGCAGAGCCGUUUAAGACGGUGGCAAUACUAUGAUUAUUAAAUA